UGGGAUGUAGCUCGUUGGUAGAGUGCUUGCCUAAGCAUGUGUGAGGCCCUGGGUUCAAAUCCCAGUAUCUAAU
rnacentral:tRNA from 1 species